rnacentral:rRNA from 1 species
AGAGUUUGAUCCUGGCUCAGGAGGAACGCUGGCGGCGUGCCUAACACAUGCAAGUCGAGCGAGAAGUAAAUUAACAGAGACUUCGGUCAAAGUAAAUUUAUGGAAAGCGGCGGACGGGUGAGUAACGCGUAGGCAACCUGCCCUUUGCACAGGGAUAGCCUCGGGAAACCGGGAUUAAAACCUGAUAACGCCGAGAGAACACAUGUU